rnacentral:rRNA from 1 species
UACAGAGGGUGCGAGCGUUGUUCGGAAUUAUUGGGCGUAAAGGGCGCGUAGGCGGUGCGGUAAGUCACCUGUGAAAUCUCCUGGCUCAACUGGGAGCUUGCAGGCGAAACUGCCGUGCUGGAGUGUGGGAGAGGUGCGUGGAAUUCCUGGUGUAGCGGUGAAAUGCGUAGAUAUCGGAAGGAACACCAGUGGCGAAAGCGGCUUCCUGGUCCAGCACCGACGUUCAGGCACGAAAGCGUGGGGAGCAAACAGG